rnacentral:rRNA from 1 species
UACGUAGGGGGCAAGCGUUGUCCGGAAUCAUUGGGCGUAAAGCGCGUGUAGGCGGCUCGAUAAGUCUGCUGUGAAAGUCCAGGGCUCAACCCUGGGAUGCCGGUGGAUACUGUCGAGCUCGAGUCCGGAAGAGGCGGGUGGAAUUCCUGGUGUAGCGGUGAAAUGCGCAGAUAUCAGGAGGAACACCAAUGGCGAAGGCAGCUCGCUGGGACGUGACUGACGCUGAGACGCGAAAGCGUGGGGAGCAAACAGG